rnacentral:rRNA from 1 species
UACGUAGGGGGCUAGCGUUGUCCGGAUUUAUUGGGCGUAAAGGGCGCGUAGGCGGCAUGGCAAGUGGAUGGUGAAAUCCCUCGGCUUAACCGAGGAACUGCCGUCCAAACUGCUUCGCUUGAGACCGGGAGAGGUGAGUGGAAUUCCCAGUGUAGCGGUGAAAUGCGUAGAUAUUGGGAGGAACACCAGUGGCGAAGGCGGCUCACUGGACCGGUACUGACGCUGAAGCGCGAAGGCGUGGGGAGCAAACGGG